GACGAACGCUGGCGGCGUGCUUAACACAUGCAAGUCGAACGGAAAGGCCCUGCUUUUGUGGGGUGCUCGAGUGGCGAACGGGUGAGUAACACGUGAGUAACCUGCCCUUGACUUUGGGAUAACUUCAGGAAACUGGGGCUAAUACCGGAUAGGAGCUCCUGCUGCAUGGUGGGGGUUGGAAAGUUUCGGCGGUUGGGGAUGGACUCGCGGCUUAUCAGCUUGUUGGUGGGGUAGUGGCUUACCAAGGCUUUGACGGGUAGCCGGCCUGAGAGGGUGACCGGCCACUUGGGGACUAAGGUACGCCCCAGACCCCAAGGGGGGGCAGGAGGGGGGAAUAUGCCCAAAGGGGCGGACGCCUGAGGAGCAAACGCCCGGGGGGGAAAGACGGCUUUGGGGGUGAAAACCGUUUUCCCUUGGGACGAAGCGGGGGUGACGGUAAGGGGAAAAGAAGCACCGGUUAACUACGU
rnacentral:rRNA from 1 species